UACGUAGGUGGCAAGCGUUGUCCGGAUUUACUGGGUGUAAAGGGCGUGCAGCCGGGAGAGCAAGUCAGGCGUGAAAUCUAUGGGCUUAACCCAUAAACUGCGUUUGAAACUGUUCUUCUUGAGUACCGGAGGGGCAAUCGGAAUUCCUAGUGUAGCGGUGAAAUGCGUAGAUAUUAGGAGGAACACCAGUGGCGAAGGCGGAUUGCUGGACGGCAACUGACGGUGAGGCGCGAAAGUGUGGGGAGCAAAC
rnacentral:rRNA from 1 species